rnacentral:sRNA from 1 species
UUCUAAACCCGACAGUAGCGAAAAUACUUUUUAAAAGCAGCGGCCUUAAUAUAAAGCGAACUGCAACCAACGAAAAAGAUGCUUCGUUCCUCAGCAUGACAGAAGUUUAAAAAGAUUGCAGCGAAUGGCGGGGCUGCAG